GUGAGCCGUGUAAUAGGCGACCAUUUCGCGCGGUUCGGGGGGCACUUGAAUAAGCCACCGGCACCCGGCUGCGUCUUUACCCCUAU
rfam:Setaria italica strain Yugu1 chromosome I, whole genome shotgun sequence.